rnacentral:misc_RNA from 1 species
UUUUUUUUUUUUUUUUCAAUCCCACAGGCAAGAACAAAAUCAAUAACAAAUCUAAUAAGUCAUAACAAAUUCAAAAGAAAAUAUCUCAACAAAAUCACCAACGCAACAUACAAAUGCACAACACAAAUUGAUUCUAAUAACCUGAAAACCCAGAUGCAAAGCAAAGGGAGAGAAGGACUGAAGUGAAGUGCGACAAGUUGGGACGGGCACAAGGCGAAAACCCAUUUCUAGCCUUCGGGAUUGAGGCGGGACUUGGGACAAGGCGACUAGUCGAC